rfam:Mesocricetus auratus contig126399, whole genome shotgun sequence.
UGGCUCAUCGGUUAAGAGCACUGGCUGCUGUUCCAGAGGACCUGGGUUCAAUUCCCAG